UAAAAGGUAGUAUAAAAAAAUUAUAUAAAGCUGUUAACUUUGUGAUGUGCUCUACCAAGCACCCUUUUAG
rnacentral:tRNA from 1 species